rnacentral:lncRNA from 1 species
AUCCAGGUCAAAAGCUACCAAGCUGAGGGGCUGGGCUUUGAACCCAGGUCCUCCUAAUUACAAAGCCUGGAGCUUAGAGACUCAGGCAAACCGUGGUUUAAUUCUGGCCCCAUUCCUUCUAGCUGUGUGACUUUGGGAAAACCACUAUACCUCUCUGAGCCUCAGCUUCCUCUUGUAUAAAAGGAUUCAGGUGGCAAGCCCGUUUGACAGAUGGUAAAACUGAGGCUCAGAGGUGAAGUCACCGACCAUGGCGAUGGAGUGAGAUGUUGACUCCGGUCUCUCUGUUUCCAGAAUUCCUUGUCUUAUUUCACACCGGAUGGGGAUCUGACAUCCAGGAAUGGAAAGCUAUGCUGCAGCCUCCAGACAGCAUUUGCUCCUGCUCCAGGUUCCAGACUCUAGAGAAAGGGGCUCAGAAACACCCAACAGAGCCCUCCCCGCAAGAAGCUCAGGGCCACACCCCCAACAAGACUUUUUCCAACAGAAUUGCAUCUCUGUUGACGUGGGUUAAUCAUGAUUUACAUUUAACUUACACAUACCCGGUUUGUAGUCAUCUGAAUAGAAAUAUGAAAGAGAUCUGUUGCAGAAAAUAUCCAGAGAAGAUGAUUCAAAUUGCCCACAGAUCCCCUAUUUGGGAAGAUCCCAGCGUGGCGUUUUAUUUUCCCUUCUUGGUACAAUUGCCGUCAUUGCACACAGAAUGCUCAGCUCUGCAUAUAUUGAUUUUUUUCCC